CAGAAAAGGGACGACAGCUAUAUAAGACGUUCAAUACGCGAUGUCAAUACUCGUUCAACUUACUGGCCAGGGUGUUUAUAAAGAUCCUUAUUUACUAUAAUAUAUUCAAUGAUUAAUAUAGAUCUUGAUUCUUGUCGACGACGACGGUGUUUAAUACUUAUCGUUCUAUGGGAGUUUUAGCAGUUGUCAAUUAUUGUUUCAUUAAUUUAAAUGCAGUUCUAUUUUAUCAAGAUCUGUCACGCUGAUAUACAUUUGCGAUCGCCAGUGAAGAAUACAACUAGAAUUGAAUAAUGAUUUAUUAAGAAAUAGUAUCAUGGACUGUGGAGUCUUUGACCUGGAGAGUGCAGAUGCUACAGACUACAGCAUGAUAAUAGUAUUUGUUGCUGAAAUCAAAUUACAAAAUUUGUUGUUCGUUGGUUGUAUAUCAGAUCAUAUCAUUGAAGUUGAAUGACAAUUCUAUUCAUCAAUGAAAGCAUCAAAAGCCAGAAAAUUGUUUGGUUGAAAUAAAAUUUGAAUUAAGAAAAAGGAAAAGGAAAAAAAAAACACUUACUUACUUAGUGGCGUUGUAAACAAACCUGCCAAUUGUCAAAUACAAAAAUUAUUGGUGAAACCUGACUUAAUAGAUAUCUCUCUUAACGGAUUAAACGAUCAGAUCAUGGCAAUAAGAUAUGUAUCUCAAUGUAUUUCGACCUGUUUAUAAUAGACACUAGUAUUACGGACACGGACACUAAUAUUUAUUUUGGUGAUUUCAAAACGAACAAAAAUCCUAGUUCAAAUCCAAAUGUUCAUGUCAUAUAUAUGUACUAACUACAAAACAUCGUCAAUACGGAAUGCAAUUAAGUACAGUAUUUAUCUCUCAAUGAAUCAACCUACAAUCACAGUGGAUUCAAAAUAAAACAUACUUUCGUCAAACAUCUUUAUACAGCAGAAAAAUUGUUUGACUAAAAAUAAAUUUUAGCUAUCAAAUAAUAUUAAUAAUUAGUUGUCUUGUCUAAAUAUUUGUAUUGUAGUUAGUCAAAUUGAAUGGUUUUGAAUAUGUUAUGUAAAUA